CACGUAGGGGCGAGCGUUGUCCGGAAUUAUUGGGCGUAAAGAGCGCGCAGGUGGUUGAUUAAGUCUGAUGUGAAAGCCCACGGCUUAACCGUGGAGGGUCAUUGGAAACUGGUCGACUUGAGUGUAGAAGAGGGAAGUGGAAUUCCAUGUGUAGCGGUGAAAUGCGUAGAGAUAUGGAGGAACACCAGUGGCGAAGGCGGCUUCCUGGUCUGUAACUGACACUGAGGCGCGAAAGCGUGGGGAGCAAACAGGAUUAGAUACCCGCGUAGU
rnacentral:rRNA from 1 species